UACGGCGGUCAUAGCGUGGGGGAAACGCCCGGUUCCAUUCCGAACCCGGAAGCUAAGGCCCACAGCGCCAUGGUAC
rnacentral:rRNA from 1 species